rnacentral:rRNA from 1 species
UGGGGAAUUUUGGACAAUGGGCGAAAGCCUGAUCCAGCAAUGCCGCGUGUGUGAAGAAGGCCUUCGGGUUGUAAAGCACUUUUGUCCGGAAAGAAAUCCUUGGCUCUAAUACAGUCGGGGGAUGACGGUACCGGAAGAAUAAGCACCGGCUAACUACGUGCCAGCAGCCGCGGUAAUACGUAGGGUGCAAGCGUUAAUCGGAAUUACUGGGCGUAAAGCGUGCGCAGGCGGUUUGCUAAGACCGAUGUGAAAUCCCCGGGCUCAACCUGGGAACUGCAUUGGUGACUGGCAGGCUAGAGUAUGGCAGAGGGGGGUAGAAUUCCACGUGUAGCAGUGAAAUGCGUAGAGAUGUGGAGGAAUACCGAUGGCGAAGGCAGCCCCCUGGGCCAAUACUGACGCUCAUGUACGAAAGCGUGGGAGCAAACAGGAUUAGAUACCCUGGUAGUCCACGCCUAAACGAUGUCAACUAGUUGUUGGGGAUUCAUUUCCUUAGUAACGUAGCUAACGCGUGAAGUUGACCGCCUGGGGAGUACGGUCGCAAGAUU